ACCAACGUGGGCACAACAGAAUCGGCCUUCAACCUCUUAAGCACUCUGCCAACAUUUUUCUCCUCUUGCCUGAUACUGUCAUUUAGGCAUCUCAUUAACUGACAGAAUUCUUUACAAAGCAACCUCUGUUUUGGGAGAACUUGUACUAGGUUUAUUUAUAAUUGUCCUAUUUCUAAGCACCAAAUUUACUUUCACUGCUGCUUUUGUUAUAGGGAAAUAUUCACCCUCCAAAGACUCUGGUUCUUUCGGACUUUAUUUUCUAGAAGACCACAAAGGUUCUGAAUCUCAACAAUUACCACAAUUGCCACCACUUCUGCUGCAUUCAAAACUCAGAACUUCAGAAGUCACUUGAUGUCUCUGGGCCAAGUUUCCUCUUCAACAAGAUGAAUAGAUGUGAAGCCUCAGGUGAACAUGAAGGUUCUCCACUAUUUCUUGAAGCACAGAUUCCAAACUGGUCCCAGCCUACUCUUCCCAUCUCUGUUCUAACCUAAAGUGUGGAUGGAUGUCAUGAGCUCUCAUGUUGCAUGCAGCAGCCGGGUGCUUGACAGAGUGAUGUGCGAGCUGGAGACCACAGUACAUCAGUACAAACUCAGCAAGUAGAAUGACAAAGAACUGCCAUGGGAUUCGCCAACGGUCUCCAAGGGCAAGAAACGCCAAUUAAAAGUUUUUCCAAAAUCAAUAUAUACAAAUUUUUUAAAACCCAUA